AUGGCGACGCCGGCCCGCCGGCCGUCGGCGCAGCAGCAGCAGCCGCUGACGGUGGACUUCGAGGCGCUGAGCUACAUCAGCAGGCUCGUGGAGGCGUUCCAGGCGUUCGACUCCGACAACGACGGCCUGGUCACGGCCCCCGAGCUCCGGGGCCUCCUGGCCUCCCUGGGCCUGGACAAGUCGGAGGCGGAGGCGCGGGACAUGCUGGCGCGCGCCGACGCCGACCGUGACGGCCGGCUCUGCGUGGAGGAGUUCCUGGACGUGAUGAACGCAGGCGAGCUCGGGCUGGGCGCGCUCGGCGCGCUCCUGCAGGCCGCCGUCCCGGCGCUGGAGUCCUUCGCGGGGCCCGACGGCGCGCUGGGCCCCGACGAGCUCGCCAGGGUGCUGGGGCUCAUGGGCACCGCCAGCGCCGAGGACUGCGCGGAGAUCAUCGCGUGCAUGGACGGGGACGGCGACGGCGCCGUCAGCGUCGAGGAGUUCAAGCUCAUGGCUGACCUGCUCUAG
rnacentral:rRNA from 1 species